AGUCAACAUGCCCAGGGGACGUGGAUAACCUCGGGAAACUGAGGAUAAACCGCGAUAGGUCAUCACUUCUGGAAUGGGUAAUGACUUAAAUCUAUAUGGCCCCUGGAUUGGACUGCGGCCGAUCAGGCUGUUGGUGAGGUAAUGGCCCACCAAGCCUGUAACCGGUACGGGCUCUGAGAGGAGGAGCCCGGAGAUGGGCACUGAGACAAGGGCCCAGGCCCUAUGGGGCGCAGCAGGCGCGAAACCUCUGCAAUAGGCGAAAGCUUGACAGGGUUACUCUGAGUGAUUUCCGUUAAGGAGAUCUUUUGGCACCUCUAAAAAUGGUGCAGAAUAAGGGGUGGGCAAGUCUGGUGUCAGCCGCCGCGGUAAUACCAGCACCCCGAGUGGUCGGGACGUUUAUUGGGCCUAAAGCAUCCGUAGCCGGUUCUACAAGUCUUCCGUUAAAUCCACCUGCUUAACAGAUGGGCUGCGGAAGAUACUAUAGAGCUAGGAGGCGGGAGAGGCAAGCGGUACUCGAUGGGUAGGGGUAAAAUCCGUUGAUCCAUUGAAGACCACCAGUGGCGAAGGCGGCUUGCCAGAACGCGCUCGACGGUGAGGGAUGAAAGCUGGGGGAGCAAACCGGAUUAGAUACCCGGGUAGUCCCAGCUGUAAACGAUGCAGACUCGGUGAUGAGUUGGCUUAUUGCUAACUCAGUGCCGCAGGGAAGCCGUUAAGUUUGCCGCCUGGGGAGUACGGUCGCAAGACUGAAACUUAAAGGAAUUGGCGGGGGAGCACCACAAGGGGUGAAGCCUGCGGUUCAAUUGGAGUCAACGCCGGAAAUCUUACCGGGGGCGACAGCAGAGUGAAGGUCAAGCUGAAGACUUUACCAGACAAGCUGAGAGGAGGUGCAUGGCCGUCGCCAGCUCGUGCCGUGAGGUGUCCUGUUAAGUCAGGUAACGAGCGAGAUCCCUGCCUCUAGUUGCUACCAUUAUUCUCAGGAGUAGUGGAGCUAAUUAGAGGGACCGCCGUCGCUGAGACGGAGGAAGGUGGGGGCUACGGCAGGUCAGUAUGCCCCGAAACCCUCGGGCCACACGCGGGCUGCAAUGGUAAGGACAAUGAGUUUCGAUUCCGAAAGGAGGAGGCAAUCUCUAAACCUUACCACAGUUAUGAUUGAGGGCUGAAACUCGCCCUCAUGAAUAUGGAAUCCCUAGUAACCGCGUGUCACUAUCGCGCGGUGAAUACGUCCCUGCUCCUUGCACACACCGCCCGUCGCUUCAUCGAAGUUGGUUCUUGGCGAGGUGGUGCCUAAUUGGUACUAUCGAACCUGGGGUCAGCAACGAGGGAGAAGUCGUAACAAGGUGGCCGUAGGGGAACCUGCGGCCGGAUCACCUCCUUAGUUAUUAUAUUGUAGUAGUGUUAGUGGGUUAGAAUGGGCCUUGUGCUCUUUCUAAUCUGCGAGACUUUACAAUACUUUUAUACUAAUAAAAUAAAUAAAUCCCUAAAAGGGAGUGCAAUCAAAUCAAAACUGAUCAAUCAAUUCCUUCAUUUUUCAUACGGUUUGAAAAAUUAGAGGUGUAUGUGGAAAUUUUGAUAAAUUGAUACAAAGAAAAGGAUUAGAAAGGAAGUAAUCAGUAGCAUAAAACGCUACUGUAAUUUCAGUCAGGUGACAAAACGUCUGUGCAAAUAAUUGACGGGCUAUUCUUUUAGAGAAAUUAAAAUAAGUUGAUUAUUGAAAUAUUAGAAUAUAAUUAGUCUAUCUGAUCAUUCCAAUUAAAAUCAGCAAAUGCAGUAUCGGAUGCAAUUCUUUGUCUCAUGUAAAUGAGUAGGAGUAGAAGAUAAAGAAUGAAGUUGAUGUAGUAGACGUGAGUUUACAAUGAUCAUCAUGUAUAGGAAAACUCUAAUUGAAAAGGAUAUCAACAACGUGUAGUAACACAUUAUCACAGAUUUCAAAAUAUACUAUAUUCGCGUAAUAACAAUACAGUCAUCAGAAUGAUUAUUGAUUGUAAUAGUGCGACGUGUGUUAUAGUUGUAGGUAAACAGCAAAUAACCUUUUAUAAAUAUGAAAUACCAUUGAAUUGAAUUAGACUUUUCUACCACAAGUGGAACUAAGAACUAACUAGAUCCAAAGGACAAAGAAAGAAAGGAAAAAAAUAAACUCCAAAAAUAAGUUUUUUAUAACUACUGGACUGGUGCAAAGACGCCGAUUGGUGGAUG
rnacentral:rRNA from 1 species